rnacentral:rRNA from 1 species
GCAGCAGCCGCGGUAAUACGUAGGUGGCAAGCGUUGUCCGGAAUUAUUGGGCGUAAAGCGCACGUAGGCGGCUUGGUAAGUUAGAGGUGAAAGCCCAGGGCUCAACCCUGGAAUUGCCUUUAAGACUGCCGAGCUAGUAGGUGAGAGAGGUAAGUGGAAUUCCGAGUGUAGAGGUGAAAUUCGUAGAUAUUCGGAAGAACACCAGUGGCGAAGGCGGCUUACUGGCUCAUUCUAGACGCUGAGGUGCGAAAGCGUGGGGAGCAAACAGGAUUAGAUACCCCUGUAGUGCCUGUCUCUUAUAC